rnacentral:rRNA from 1 species
UACACUCCUACGGGAGGCAGCAGUGGGGAAUAUUGGACAAUGGGCGCAAGCCUGAUCCAGCCAUGCCGCGUGAGUGAUGAAGGCCCUAGGGUUGUAAAGCUCUUUCACCGGUGAAGAUAAUGACGGUAACCGGAGAAGAAGCCCCGGCUAACUUCGUGCCAGCAGCCGCGGUAAUACGAAGGGGGCUAGCGUUGUUCGGAUUUACUGGGCGUAAAGCGCACGUAGGCGGACUAUUAAGUCAGGGGUGAAAUCCCGGGGCUCAACCCCGGAACUGCCUUUGAUACUGGUAGUCUUGAGUUCGAGAGAGGUGAGUGGAAUUCCGAGUGUAGAGGUGAAAUUCGUAGAUAUUCGGAGGAACACCAGUGGCGAAGGCGGCUCACUGGCUCGAUACUGACGCUGAGGUGCGAAAGCGUGGGGAGCAAACAGGAUUAGAAACCCUGGUAGUCCCAUG